UAAGAAUGGUCCAUCACCCAAAGAACAUCCAGCCAACUUGACACAAUCGUGGGAAGCAUUGGAGUGCCCUGACAGAUUGAGGCUGUUCUGAGAGCCAUCCAGGACUCAGAGCAUUUUGUAUUAUUCUAUAACUAGAGGAGUCUUCGCAGCAUUAUGGCUGUCAGCACCCAUCAGAUGUUUACCCAAGCGGAGAGAGAGGGAGAAAGGGAAAGAGAGGGGUGCAUACCUGGUCCUCUAGCCCUCAGGACAAUGACCCAACACACCUCCAAGCUUUGUAAGGGAUAUUUGACCAAGAAUGAGAGUAAUGGAGUGCUGCAUCAGAUGACCUGGCCUCCACAAUCACCCAACCUCAACCCAAUUGAGAUGGUUUGGGAUGAGUUGGACUGCAGAGUGAAGGAAAAGCAGCCAACAAGUGCUCAGCAUAUGUGGGAACUCCUUCAAGACUGUUGGAAAAGCAUUCCAGGUGAAGCUGGUUCAGAGAAUGCCAAGAGUGUGCAAAGGGUGGCUGCUUUGAAGAAUCUAAAAUCUUAAAUAUAUUUGGUUACUACA